rnacentral:lncRNA from 1 species
UGGAAAAACAGAAACAAUAUUGAAUUAUAUUUGUAUCUUCGGCUUGACAGAGGGUGAAAUUACAAGCGUGACGCACAAGCGAGUACCAGUCAGCGUGAACAGUACGGGGGUACUGUUCAUCUAUUUAUAGGCACAGGGCGCAACCUGUGUAAAUUUACAUUCAUGCCCUUUAUAUUUACUAUUGACUUAUGAAUAAACCAACGGGGACUAGAUUGUCUUUUCCCCUUUAAGUCGGUUCCUUUUUCCGCCACUUAGCCGAAGCUUCCUUGCGUGUAGCUUCGAAGCAAUCAUCAGCCUUCGUCUCAACCAUGCUUUUCACAUCGCGUAUGGUUUUAACCCGAGUCCGAAGUUACCUGUUCAUAUGUCACACUUGAAAAACAUUGUUAAAUCAUGUUUUUGAGGACCUUCGGAAGACGAAGGCCUCCAACAGCAGCGUCCCCUAAAUUUCAUCUUCUAAAGAAAUAUUCUCUAUCCUUUAUAGCACCCUCUAAACGAUUCUAUUCUCUAUAUUUUCUUCGUCUACAGCAACGUCCCCUAAAUUUGGUUCUCUAUAUCUACAGUGUUACUAGAUUUGAAUAAUCUACAUUUUUUUCACCUAUCACAAAAAAGUAUGUCAUGAAUUUAAAAUACUUUUUACAACACAUUUUCAUUUAAUGUAGAAAUUACUCCUCGAUCCUAUAUAGGAAACAAUACAUUGGAAAUUUAUAUUAUAUACUUUUCCAUGUCGUACACACAACAAAAAAUAUUGUUCGUAUGUGCCAAAAUAGAAUUAUGGAGUAAUGAAAAUAAUUACAUUACGUCACCUGCAUGCCAUAAUCACUAGAAGCAACUUUGGUCAUCCAAUGCAGGGAACUACAUUCAGACAAGAAAGGGUCAUAGCUCAAGCACGGUGAUUACAUACCCUAGUAGAAAUGGUCAUGAUUUAGAUUAUUUUAUCAAGAAGCCUAAAGAUAAAUUAUUGUAUAGGAAAUUUCCUUAAGUCAGGUGGAAACCGAAUAAAUGAACUAAACUCAUUUUAUGUGUCAAAAUAAUGCCUUGAACACAGAUGACUGAAUCUGAACCAUUAUGGGAAAUCAGAACGAAAUAAUGCCUUGCUUUAUGUGUCAAAAUCUGGAUUAAUCUAUGUGAAUGAACGAAAUAAUUAGGGAGAAAAUGUACCGGUGACUGAAUCAAACACAGGUAAAAAAGGAACAAUAUAAUGUGACCCCUCUGAACUUAGUGUUCUUCUCUAAACCGUUAUGGGAAAAUAGAGAAAUCAAACGCAACAUGGCAAGGAGACUCCAAUCACCUUCGAUGGCUUGGAUCGGGACCUUUGACAAAAUCGAAGACGAAGCGUACGAACACGAUGGACUUCACUUCCUUUUCUCAGCACCGACCUGCGAGGAGGGAAGGGGCGGCGUUUGGCUACAUCAAACUUGGACGAAUGGACGGUCGUCCUCAGUGCUGGCUUGAGCUCGCGACGACCUCUGUUCGGACCUGUCCGGCUCCGGCAACUUGGGGCCCAGCUUCGCCACUGCCUUCGACAAACAACGCCGGGAACAACCGGCGCCGCGGGGAGACAGUUGCAACCGGAAAGGAGCGCG